CCCUCAUAUAUCUGCCCGGAUAGUGCUUUGCCUCUUCAGCUAUCACGGUUCCUGGAAAUGAGGAAGAUCACCCCUGCACUUCGGAUCACCCAUCAUUCGCAUUUCCGGGUUGGUUUGCGGUGCAGGCAUGGUGGGAUGUCUAUAUGGAUGGCUCGUGUGAUCCUCAAUUCACUCGAGUGGUUUUUUAGCUCCCUACAUUU
rnacentral:snoRNA from 1 species